AGCAGUGGCAUUUCACACAGAGUGCAGCCAGCCAGUUUCUUUGAUUCUCAGAACUCACAAAGCUAAAACUAAAAAUAUUCUUCAUCUGCUAAAUAUCCAUCAAAAUAUGGAGUUUUCCAACCCCAAUGGAGUCCCCUUCCUGGCCUCUUGAUUGCUGUACCCAGGGAGCCACUAUGACUUCUGCACUUAACAGGAAACCUCGUUCCAAUGAAAUGAGAGUCAUGGCUUGACUUCCACCCACAAUGUGCUCCUGCCUCCACCUCAUCUUUCCCAGACCUGACCACAUCUUCCUGUUCUUGCUGGCCUGACUCACUAGCAAAGGUCUGCAUUUGUGCAUCAUAGCUGAAAAUGUGAGCAACACACCAGAAGUCUGCCUUUGAAGUGCUUCCAGGCUGGUCAAUGGAGGAAAUAUCAGGUUUUUCAUCAGAAACUUCUUUUCAUGCACUAUGAAAUUCAAGUCAAAAACUGGACUUCCAAGGAUUUAGAAAUACCUGAGCAUCCGAGGCACUGGCAGUUAGUAAACUCCGGGUCAAUCCCCAAAUCCCGAGGCCACCCGCUCCCCCAAGUGGUAUGUUUGCCAGGCAUUUCAUAAAAUAACUGUUACUGGUUUUAUUCUAAGCAUCAAAAAUAAAGGUGCAAACCACAAUCUCAGAAAAGUACAAACUA